GCAAAGAUACAACGAUUACCAGCGACAAUUCUCGCUUGGAUUUCUUCUUUCAUAUCUGGUCUCCUAGUGAAUAUUGUAACGUUAUAAAUGUCACAUCUUUGUUAUCUUAUUUUUAAAUAAUUAUGUAAUUCUAUUUUCUUUACUAAUUCAUUAAUAAUAAUCUUCUUGUAUUUGUUUUACUCGUUUUCCUGUUAAAAACUUGUUUGGCGCCCUCUUUCGUUAUUUUCUAUAGACAUGUCUCCAUAUAAAGCGUCUAAGUCAUGAUACGGAACAUUCUUAUUCUACCGUUCUAUGGUUACGUCAAGAUGUCAAGCUCCCACUAACUAACUCUGUCAAAUGGUCAAGUCAGUCCCUCUCCUGUCAAAAUGGAGGCACUUUGUAUUUUAAUUUUUCAGACGUUCAGAACAGCCGUUUUUAAAUUGGGUUUUUUGGAAUAAUAAAGUACUAAGCAAAACUUCACCUUUCGGGAGGACUUCCUGAGCUUGAAUGGAGCCUCCGAUACCGUCGGCGAUGACCAUCAUACAACCACCAUACUGAACAUCUAACGAACCAACACCCGUAGGCAUCUAAACAUUCCGUAUAUGUAUUUGGCACCUAGGACUUUUCGAUUGGUUCUUUGCAGCACGCGGUCAUAUUUCAACCAAUACGCGGCGAGGUGCCAAACGCAUAUACGGAAUUUUAUUCGGUGCGAAAUUCAUAUACGGAAUGUUAAGUAUUCGUAGACCGAAAAAGACACUUUUCAUUAUCGUCAGUUAAAAGGAGAUUGAUUAAAAUUCUUGUUAAUGUAUUAUUAAAAAAUAAAUAAAACAAUAAUUAUA
rnacentral:lncRNA from 1 species